rnacentral:rRNA from 1 species
UACGAAGGGGGCUAGCGUUGUUCGGAAUUACUGGGCGUAAAGCGUGCGCAGGCGGCUUCUCAAGUCAGGGGUGAAGGCCCAGAGCUCAACUCUGGAACUGCCUUUGAGACUGAGAGGCUUGAGUACGGGAGAGGUGAGUGGAAUUCCCAGUGUAGAGGUGAAAUUCGUAGAUAUUGGGAAGAACACCGGUGGCGAAGGCGGCUCACUGGCCCGUAACUGACGCUCAUGCACGACAGCGUGGGGAUCAAACAGG